GUUGAUGGGAAUGUUGUUUGGCUCGAGGUGACAUAGGUUUGAUCUUUUAUCUUUGAAAAUUUCUGUUUCUUGGUUUCUUUUUUCUGGAGAAAAUUCAAAGAUACAUAGCCCUAUGUAAUCUCGGACCAGGCUUCAUUCCCGUCAAC
rnacentral:pre_miRNA from 1 species